CCCCAAACCUCAACCAUAUAUUUCCAUCAACUUACAAGCCACAAGCUUCAUAAUCUUACACACAUGACAAGAAAGAUAUCAUAAUAAAAUAUCUUACUCUGAAGUAAAAAUAAAAUACAACACAACAUAAGUACUCUCACGUUUAAGAAAGAUGAAGAUGAAUGAAUGUGCGUGCUUUCAAUAAAUUCCUCAGAUCAUGAAUCCCACUACAACAGAAGCUUUUAACACGAUCCCUUAUCCUGCUCAUACCUAAAGACCCUAGCGUGCAAUGCUACUUAUUCCAGUAUAAAAUAUUAUUGAACAUCCAGUUAAUACUACAAGGUCGGCAAGGACUAAGAUCACUUGUCUCGAA
rnacentral:lncRNA from 1 species